UUGGCUACCCCUUAAAGGCGUAAAAAUGACCCGUUAUUGAGAACCUCCGCGAUCUGUCAAAUAACGGGUCAUUUUAUCGGAUCAAUAUUACCCCUUAUUUCGAAAGGCUCGAUUCCCUUCAAAAGGGGUAGUUUUAGAUGUUGUUACAUUCAAAGCGUUAUUUUAUUUGUCCGGUGAAUAAAAUAUGCAGUGAUUGUGCACAUCAACGACAAGGUCAAAAAACAAGUAAAUUCUACUUGAAACCACGAAUGGCGGUGGAAUUUGAUGGUUUCUUCUGAUAAUACUAGCCCCUAAUAGGAUGCUGAAAAAAAAUAUCGACGCGAGGUAAAGAAAGAUUCCAAUCAUUUUUGAUUGAAAAAAAAAACGGUUGAUUCCAAGAUUGUUCCAAGAAAUGUUUUUAAAACGCAAAAUUACUGGCCAUUUUAAUAAACAAAGUGAAUUAACAUUUGGUUUUCAUUCAUUUCCCAGCAAACGAAUUUUCCAUAAUCGAAUACAAAUAUUUCUGCCAUACGAAAGCGUUUAAAAUAAGGGGUUAUUUUCAUACAUGCGUUUCAAAUAAGGGGUAAUUUUCAUCCGCUACAAGCGUUAUCAAGCUGAGUACCCCUUAAAGGGUAAAGCGGCUUUAUCCUUAAAAAGGAGUUCUCCCAGUCUUAUCGAAUAACGGGUCAAAAGUAUUCGUUAAGGGGUAACCAAAAGUUAGCG